rnacentral:rRNA from 1 species
CCUACGGGUGGCUGCAGUGGGGAAUAUUGGACAAUGGGGGCAACCCUGAUCCAGCCAUGCCGCGUGUGUGAAGAAGGCCUUCGGGUUGUAAAGCACUUUUGUUGGGGAAGAAACCGGCCGGGUUAAUACCCUGGUUGAAUGACGGUACCCAAAGAAUAAGCACCGGCUAACUUCGUGCCAGCAGCCGCGGUAAUACGAAGGGUGCAAGCGUUACUCGGAGUUACCGUGGGUAGAUUGUUAAGAGGCGGUUGAAAGCCCUGGGCUCAACCUGGGAACUGCAGUGGAUACUGGCGAGCUAGAGUGUGUCAGAGGAUGGUGGAAUUCCCGGUGUAGCGGUGAAAUGCGUAGAGAUCGGGAGGAACACCAGUGGCGAAGGCGGCCAUCUGGGACAACACUGACGCUGAGGCACGAAAGCGUGGGGAGCAAACAGGAUUAGAUACCCGUGUAGUC